CCCCCCCCCCCCCCCCCCCCCCCCCCCCCCCCCCCCCCCCCCCCCCCCCCCCCCCCCCCCCCCCCCCCCCCCCCCCCCCCCCCCCCCCCCCCCCCCGCCCAGGUGUCCAGCGCCGGCUCCAGCCGCAGCCGCGCCUCACCUGCGCGCAGGUGCCAGAGCUCAGGUGCGGCGUAGGGGGCGGGGCCGGCGGCGGGCCGCACCUGCCAGCCCAGCACGCGCGUCAGGCCGAAGUCGCCCAGCUUGACCAGGUGACACUCGCGGUCGAAGGCCAGCACGUUGUCCAGCUUCAGGUCGCGGUGAACCAGGGCGUGGCCGUGCAGGUGUGAGCAGGCCGCACAGGUCCCCGGCAGGUGCGAGCUCCUGGGCGAAGCCGAACUCCGUGGGGGUCUCGAAGGCGAGCGGCAGCACCUGGACACAGGUGAGUGUCCCCCGCAGGCACAGGUGAGUGCAGAACUCCCGCAGGAAGCUGCACCUGGCCGUGCGCUCCUUGGAGAGCAGCUUCAGCGCCACCCGCGCACCUGCACAGGUAACAGCACACCUGGGUCAGGUAACAGCACAGCUGUGUCAGGGACAGACACACCUGGGACAGGUAACAGCACACCUGGGACAGGAACAGACACACCUGGGUCAGGGACAGACACACCUGCACAGGUAACAGCACACCUGGGUCAGGUAACAGCACAGCUGUGUCAGGGACAGACACACCUGGGACAGGUAACAGCACACCUGGGACAGGAACAGACACACCUGGGUCAGGGACAGACACACCUGCACAGGUAACAGCACACCUGGGUCAGGUAACAGCACAGCUGUGUCAGGGACAGACACACCUGGGACAGGUAACAGCACACCUGGGACAGGAACAGACACACCUGGGUCAGGGACAGACACACCUGCACAGGUAACAGCACACCUGGGUCAGGUAACAGCACAGCUGUGUCAGGGACAGACACACCUGGGACAGGUAACACACCUGGGACAGGUAACACACCUGGGACAGGUAACAGCACAGCUGGGUCAGGGACAGCACAGCUGGGACAGGUAACACACGUGGGACAGGUAACAGCACAGCUGGGUCAGGUAACACACGUGGGACAGGUAACACACCUGGGACAGGUAACAGCACAGCUGGGCCAGGGACAGCACACCUGGGACAGGUAACACACCUGGGACAGGUAACAGCACACCUGGGACAGGAACAGACACACCUGGGUCAGGGACAGACACACCUGCACAGGUAACAGCACACCUGGGUCAGGUAACAGCACACCUAGGACAGGGACAGCACACCUGGGUCAGGGACAGACACACCUGGGUCAGGUAACAGCACACCUGCACAGGUAACAGCACACCUGGGACAGGAACAGCACAGCUGGGUCAGGGACAGACACACCUGGGACAGGGACUGACAUACCUGGGACACCUGGGGGAGAGUGACACACCUGGGUCAGGGAUAGGUAACACACCUGGGAGCUCUCACCUCCCUGCCAGGGCUCUGCCAGCACCACCUGUCCAUAGGAGCCGCUGCCCAGAUGUGCCCAGGUGUGUCUGUGGAGGUCCCUAGAUGUGCCCAGGUAUGCUCAGGUGUGUCUGUGGAUAUCCCCAGGUGCCCUCAGGUGUUCCCAGGUGUGGCCAGAUGUGCCCAGGUGCCCCCAGGUGUGCCCAGGUGCUUCCAGGUGCUUCCAGGUGUUCCCAGGUAUGCCCAGGUGUGUCUGUGGAUAUUCCCAGGUGCCCCCAGGUGUCCCCAGCUGUGUCUGUAGAUAUCCCCAGGUGUGUCCCAGGUUCCCCCAGGUGUGUCUGUG
rnacentral:lncRNA from 12 species